rnacentral:rRNA from 1 species
UACGUAGGGGGCAAGCGUUGCUCGGAAUCACUGGGCGUAAAGCGCACGUAGGCGGCUUUUUAAGUCAGGGGUGAAAUCCUGGAGCUCAACUCCAGAACUGCCUUUGAUACUGAGAAGCUUGAGUCCGGGAGAGGUGAGUGGAACUGCGAGUGUAGAGGUGAAAUUCGUAGAUAUUCGCAAGAACACCAGUGGCGAAGGCGGCUCACUGGCCCGGUACUGACGCUGAGGUGCGAAAGCGUGGGGAGCAAACAGG